rnacentral:rRNA from 1 species
UACGGAGGGGGCUAGCGUUGUUCGGAAUUACUGGGCGUAAAGCGCACGUAGGCGGCUUUGUAAGUUAGAGGUGAAAGCCCGGGGCUCAACUCCGGAAUUGCCUUUAAGACUGCAUCGCUUGAACGUCGGAGAGGUGAGUGGAAUUCCGAGUGUAGAGGUGAAAUGCGUAGAUAUCGGAAGGAACACCAGUGGCGAAAGCGGCUUCCUGGUCCAGCACCGACGUUCAGGCACGAAAGCGUGGGGAGCAAACAGG